UCAGCUCAUGAGCUAGCUUUUGAAAUUGAAUUAGACCAAAUGUCCAUUUUGUUGACAAUAGUUAAAUGGAUAGACCAAAAGUCUAAUUUGUUGUCAAUUGUUAUGUGUCUCUGGCAUAUCGCCUAACCACACUUUCUCUAGAACAAUUAAGCUUUGAUUCUUAUAGUCUUAAAGAGUCCAAUUUUAUAUCUUUUCACAUCCUACAUGAAAUAACUUGAAAACUGUCAUAUCUCUAUUAAACUCUUAUUUUACCCAGGGUAAGAUUUAGGUUUGGAGGUGAUUUCAUUUUAAUCAAAGAGAUCAAGUUUUCCAGUUAUGAAUUUAUGAUGUAUCAUGAACAUAUUCUUGUCUUUCUGCCCAAAUCUGGAAGCAGCCUCUUGCUGUGAAUAACGUUCUGCAUAGUAUGUUCGUCCAGUCUUGUUAAUUAAGAUUUUGAACAAAUCUAUGAAUAAAGUUUGUAUUGUUGUUUGAUUGCAACACAGAGGUUUUGGUAACAAACUGGAAUCACAAACUAUUUGAUGCUCAGGUGCGAGUUAAUGGUCCAGAUGCCGCCCCAGUGUACAAAUUCCUUAAAGCAAGCAAAGGUGGUUUUUUAGGUUCCAGAAUUAAGUGGAAUUUCACCAAGUUUUUGGUUGAUAAGGAAGGGAAAGUUAUCAGGCGCUAUGGCUCAACUACUCCACCAUUAUCAAUCAAGGCUGUUAUCGAAAAGGCAAUAAGGGAGAAUUGACAAGGUUGUGUCUAGUUCAGAAGUGCAGUCAAUUAAACUUGCGAUAUAAAGAAGAGAGAGCGAAAGAAGCUUUCUGUCAAAUGCAAUUUUCUUAUUCUUGUCGUGUGCUUUUAAGUUCAUUCCUUUUGGUGAUGUUGAGGUGGUUUUCAGCCUUUUGUUUGGAGGAUUCAUGUGUUGCAGACAUGAAAACGUAACUAAAUUGGUCCUUAUUACCUAAUAUUGUACAUUUUCCACUAUCCUUUUAUGUAUACUGAUUAUUAACUGUUAGAGAUCGUUCGGUUCACAAACAAGUUUUGUAUGGAUUAUAAUGCAGAAUUAUAUACAGUCACAAUUAUUGUUGGAUUAUUUUA